rnacentral:rRNA from 1 species
UUUUUGGAAAUAAUUUAAAGUCUAAUCUGCCCACUGAUAAAUAUAUUAAAGGGCUGCAGUAUUUUGACUGUACAAAGGUAGCAUAAUCAUUAGUCUCUUAAUUGGUGACUUGUAUGAAAGAUUGGAUGAAAUAUAAACUGUCUCUAAUUAAUUUAUAAAAUUUAAUUUUUUAGUAAAAAAGCUAAAAUAAUUUUAAAAGACGAGAAGACCCUAUAGAGUUUUAUAAUUUAUUUGAUUAUUAUUAAUAUGUAAAUUUUAAAAUUAAAAUUAAAUAAAUUAUUUUGUUGGGGUGACAGAAAAAUUAAAUUAACUUUUUUAAAUAAUUAACAUUAAUUUAUGAAUAAAUGAUCCAUUAAUAUUGAUUAAAAGAAAAAAUUACCUUAGGGAUAACAGCGUAAUUUUUUUUUUUAGUUCAAAUAGGAAAAAAAGUUUGCGACCUCGAUGUUGGAUUAAGAUAAAAUUUAAAUGCAAAAGUUUAAAAUUUU